GCGCUUGGAGUUGCCAUGGUAACCAGGAAGUGGCGGCGGCGGCGGUGGACGGGGAUUGCAGCGGUUGCUGAUGCUGGUGGCCGGAGCGGAGCGGAAACAUGAGGCGGGAGCAGCGGCGGAGACUGACCGCUGUGUGCCUGCUGCUGCUGGUGGCCUUCCUGGUAGUCAGGCCUCGUCUCCUGGAUUCCUUCUCGAUCAGGAUGUUGAGCCGCCAUAAAGGUCUGCAGGCAGAGAACGGACAGUUCUCACUGGAGGGCGAGCCACUGAGGAUUCUGGGAGGUUCUAUGCACUACUUCCGAAUCCCCAAAGAAUACUGGAAGGAUCGAAUGAUGAAGAUGAAGGCCUGCGGACUGAACACACUUACCACAUAUGUACCGUGGAAUUUACAUGAGCCACGAAGGGGCAAGUUUGACUUCUCGGCAAAUCUGGACCUUGGGGCAUAUUUGGACACAGCCGCUGAAGUGGGAUUAUGGGUGAUUUUACGUCCCGGGCCCUAUAUCUGCGCAGAGUGGGAUCUCGGGGGGCUGCCAAGCUGGUUACUACGGGACAAGGACAUGCAGCUGCGAACAACCUACAAAGGCUUCACGGAGGCCACCGAGGCUUACUUUAAUGAGCUCCUCCCCAAGGUGGUCAGACAUCAGUAUUCCAGAGGAGGUGCAAUAAUCGCUGUGCAAGUGGAGAAUGAGUAUGGUUCAUAUGCCAAGGAUGCCAAUUACAUGGAGUUCAUAAAGAUGGCUCUGCAACGUCGUGGGAUUGUGGAAUUGUUACUAACCUCUGAUAACAAAGAUGGGAUCAGUUCUGGCAGUAUGGAAGGAGUCCUGGCCACCAUCAACUUCCAGAAGAUUGAGCCCAUCCUCUUCACCUAUCUAGAGUCCAUUCAGGGUAACAAGCCGGUGAUGGUAAUGGAGUAUUGGACAGGAUGGUUUGAUCACUGGGGGGGCGAUCAUCAUGUAUUUGAUGUUGACCAGAUGGUCUCCACCGUAUCUGAUGUGCUGGCUAAAGGAGCUUCUAUUAACCUCUACAUGUUUCAUGGAGGAACCAACUUUGGCUUCAUGAACGGAGCUCUGCACUUCCAUGAAUACCGCUCAGACGUCACCAGUUAUGAUUAUGAUGCCCCACUCACUGAGGCCGGCGACUACACCUCCAAAUACUUCAAACUUCGAGAGUUAUUCAGCAAACAGUACAUUGAGCCUCUUCUUCCACCACCCGCUCUGUUUACAAAGGCUGCAUAUGGAGCUGUGACACUGAAACGCAGUGUGUCCCUGUGGGAUGCUUUACAGCUGACAGGAGAGCCCUUUAAAUCUGAGCUUCCGGUGAAUAUGGAGAACCUUCCGGUGAAUGAUGGGAACGGCCAAUCCUAUGGCUACACCCUGUAUGAGACUGUGAUCUACGGCGGAGGGAAGUUCCAGACGAAAGGGAACGUCCGUGACCGCGCUCAGGUAUUUGUCAGCGGUCAGUCAGUCGGUUUUGUGGAUUAUAAAAACCAGGAGCUGGACAUUGCCGAGGUUCCAGGAUAUAGAAAGCUGCGAAUUCUAGUAGAAAACUGCGGGCGAGUCAAUUAUGGAGCCAGAAUAAAUGAUCAACGCAAAGGUCUUGUUGGUGACGUUUUCUUAAGAGAUGUUCCCCUGAGGAAUUAUAAGAUCUACAGCCUGGAUAUGAAUUACACCUUCAUAUACAGUCUUGACAAUAUCCGGUGGUCAGAAGUAAGCGAGGAAAAGAAGGGUCCGGUAUUCUGCCAGGGAACACUACACAUCAACCAUUCUCCGGUGGACACCUACCUGUCGAUGAAGGGCUGGAAGAAAGGAGUGGUAUUUUUGAAUGGAAGGAACUUGGGUCGAUACUGGGACAUAGGACCCCAACAGACCCUUUAUGUGCCAGGAUCCUGGUUCGAUGUCGGAGUCAAUAUAAUUACAAUAUUUGAAGAACAAGAGGUCGGCAGUGCAUUAUAUUCUGUGGACUCCCCACACCUGGGAAGAACACAGUAUGUGGACUAGCCGGGGCUACUAAAUUGUUGAAAGAAGAGCAGCAAAAAAACAAAAAGCGAGCAUGUGGUCUAUUGAAAACCAGGGUGCCUCCAGCUGUUGAAAAACUACAACUCCCAGUAUGUCCAGACAGCCAGAUAAAUGCUCUGUAGAAUGAUUUCGCUUUAUAAGAUGAAACUAAAAAGCAGAGCAGCAGUAUAGAAGGGAACUGCGGAUAGAACAGAGCGGCACUAGUACAAUGUUCCUCCAAACAAGCUCCGCACUGUACGUGUCAGCCGGGCGGCGGCGGAUCUGACGAAAUCACAUUGUAGAACGUAUAAAGGAAUUGCAAGAGUCUGCAGGAGAGAGAUUGCCUCGUGGCUCCGAGAUGAAAGAACAGCUUCAUACAAUGCACAUUACACAGCUCCGCGGAUCAGACAUCACUGUGUGCGUGGGGCGGAAUCUUCACAAGAUCUGCCAAUUUUGGUAAAUAGAAGAAGUAAAGAAAUCUUGUCUUAUAGGAAGCGGUCUACUGAGGGACGAUGAAAGGUGGUGGUGACCUUCUUCAGAAUGGUGUAAAGGGGCCUCCCAACUGGACAAACCUUCUAGGGAUAGGGAUCAGUACAGGCUGCCAUGGCUUGAUGGGGGCUGUCAUUUUUGUGCAUAUGUGUCCAGUAAAAGCAUAUCUGAGCCAAUAGGGCAAUGCUUUGUACCUGCACUGAUACUUUGGAGCAAAACAAAAUAUUACGACUACAAAUACAGGACUAUGGGCACCUUUUCGCAGAAUUUUUUUUUCCAUUAUUUACCUUAAUGCAAAAAAUAAACAACUUUCAUAUAGUCUUUAUUAAACAUUCCCUAUUAUUUUGUUACUGCUUAGAGAGAAAGAUAAACAAAUCAAUCUCAUGGGCUUUUUGUUCCCACCUUCUCUUCUCUCAGUGUUAUAAAUUGAAGAGGGUAUACAUAACAGCUCAGAGUGUAGAGAUAGGGAGGAGAACAUACAUUGGGGUCAGCUCACACAGGCUGUAGAUAGGGAGGAGAGCAUACAUGGAGGGCAGCACACACAGGCUGUAGAUAGGGAGGAGAGCAU